CGAGUGCCCCAAGCGUUAUCCGGAAUCAUUGGGCGUAAAGGGUGUGUAGGUGGUUUUGUUAGUCUUCUGUCAAAAUUCCACGCUUAACGUGGAACCUGCAGGGGAAACGGCAAGACUCGAGGAUGCGAGAGGUGAAUGGAACUCAUGGAGUAGGGGUGAAAUCCGUUGAUAUCAUGGGGAACACCGAAAGCGAAGGCAAUUCACUGGCGCAUUCCUGACACUGAAACACGAAAGCGUGGGUAGCGAACGGGAUUAGAUACCCCGGUAGUCCACGCCCUAAACGCUGAUCACUAGCUUUAGGAGGUAUCAACCCCUUCUGAGGCGAAGCUAACGCGUUAAGUGAUCCGCCUGGGUAGUACGGCCGCAAGGCUAA
rnacentral:rRNA from 1 species